rnacentral:ncRNA from 1 species
CGAAAGAUGGUGAACUAUGCCUGGGCAUGGCGAAGCCAGAGGAAACUCUGGUGGAGGUCCGUAGCAGUCCUGACGUGCAAAACUGUCGUCCGACCUGGGUAUAGAGGUUGAUGGAUCGAAACCAUCCUCUGCU